rnacentral:rRNA from 1 species
UUAAAAAGCUCGUAGUUGGAUUUCUGGUCUGAGCGUCCGGUCCGCCGCUGUGCGGUGUGUACUUGGUAUGACUCGGGCCUUCCUUGUAGGGAAUGUCUCUGGCAUUAAUUUGUCGGGGUCGGGAACUGCAUCGUUUACUGUGAAAAAAUUAGAGUGUUUAAAGCAGGCAUUUGCUGUGAAUACAUUAGCAUGGAAUAAUAAGAUAGGACUUUGGUUCUAUUUUGUUGGUUGGAGGCCAAGGUAAUGAUUAAUAGGGAUAGUUGGGGGUA